rnacentral:lncRNA from 1 species
CAACCAGGGACCCUGCUACUGUACCGAUUCCCAGUACAUCAAAGCCAUCACUUAGGCGGGUGUACGGUACCUCCAAAAAGGAAGCAAACAAACGCAGGAAGAACAAGAGUCUCAGUCUCUCUCCCACUCUCUCCCUCUCUCUCUCUCUUUCUCUGCCCCCUCUUUCAAAUCCUAGCCUAGCGUCACUGCUAAUGCAAUAGAUUUUUUUUAAUGACAAGUAUGUAUUUAUGUAAGUUCUAAAUAUGAACUAGUACCACUGAAAUUACAAUGUCUGGAAUAAAAUAAAAUGCAAUUUGCACUUUAAGUGAUCUGCAAACAAAUGCAAAAACAACAUUUAUGUCUCUGAAGGCUUUAGAAGUGAACCCUGUAACAUCAGGUAGACAGCGCGCACCAAAACUUAUUUUUCUUAGAAAAAAGAUUUUUUUCCCAGCCUCGCUGGAUUAUUUAUUUUAGAAAGAAUUUGGGAAUUAAUCGGGAAAUCUAUUUGAUUAGAAAGGAAUUCUUCAUUUUGAGAGAUUUUCCAAUGCUCUUAAGAGCAUGCAGGUUCUUAGUGAAGACUAGGGGGAGAAAACCGGUUUAGGAUUUUGCAGGGUUACCUCAUCUAAUCCUUGUGAAUUCACUCUGGGAAUAAUGCUGUUUUAUUUAGAGAGAAAAAAAGAAAAUACAUUUAGAAAAAUCGGGGGUUUCCUCUCUAUGAGCCAAAUCUGGAUUGCCAUUCAAACUUUUCCUGGCUGCUUUUCCAUGCGGGACAGUUGAUCAAUAAAGCCAAGCCCAGCCUGCCUUGCUACAGGUUUCACCAGUCAGUGCUUGCAAAACCUUUGUCAUUUUCUAAAAAUAAAAAAGCUAAAAGUUAUUGUAGAAGAAGGGGCUUUUUUUUGUCCCCUGCACAAUGUGUCUUUUGUGAGGUUAAUGCCAUUCUGGGCUCUCGAUAGCCCUGGACAAUGGGAACUCUCCAGGAGCCUGCAAAGACUGGCUUUUUUCUUUCUUGAUUUUUUUUUUUUUAAGGGAAGGAUGAAACAUUCCUACAGUCCAAACACAACUUCUACUUUGAUUAAAUAAAUAUUUAUCUUUAUUGUAACCAUUGUAUAUUUUUAACUUCAGUUUGUCCGGUUUCUGAUUAUUAUUUUAAAUUUUUCAUUGGCAACAGUUAAUCUUUUUUCUUUCCCUUUCAGUCCAAAGUGCAGGUCAGUGUAAAAUGUAGCUGACUGAAAGAAGACUGGUAAAUUCUGAAUUUUUCCAUAAUAUAUCAGGUAAGGAAAAUUGUUCAGACCUUCAGGAGUAUAUUUGUCUCUAAUUUAUCUGUCUUCACGAAUCUUCAUAAUUGUUGGGGUUUUUUUUAAGAUGCAGCAAAUUUUAAUUUCUCCUUGUAGAUCUUGAAAACUUACUUAAAUGCUAUGUAUUUAUUUUCUCUUAAAAAUGUAAAUGAUACAAGGAGCGAACUUGUAGCUUGUUACACAAAACAGCGCGGAGGAAGUCAGUAUCUCCACUGGUAUAGGCUAUUUGGGGGAAAUUCUGGAUAUAAAUGUAUUUCAUGUUGCAAUAUAGGAAAAUGUCAGCUUAAUCUGGUAAAUACUUAUGCUAAUUUUACUCAGUGAAUUCGUUAUAAGGAGGAGAGGUACCAAGCUUGUAUGAUUGAAUAAUGCUUAGGCGAUAAUCCAGCAUCUGUAUGGAUUAUUUUAUGUACAAAAUGAAAAAAGGGACCAAGAAAUUCAGAAUCUAAAUCCUUCAUUUAGCUGGCAAGAGGGCAGAAAAUUUUAGACCAAUCUGUUUUUAAGACAUUUACAGUAGGGAGAGAAAGUAGAAUGUAGGCUAAAUAUUGCAUUGAUGUGUGUAUUUCUCUGCCUCUCGCUCAAAUGAAUGGAUAGAAACACAAAGAUAUAUGCAUAAAUGGGUACAUAAAUAUACAUUUGAAUGAC